UACGUAGGUGACAAGCGUUGUCCGGAUUUACUGGGCGUAAAGAGCGCGCAGGCGGUCGUUCCAGUCGAGUGUGAAAGCCCCCGGCUCAACUGGGGAGGGUCAUUCGAUACUGAUCGACUCGAAGGCAGGAGAGGGAAGUGGAAUUCCCGGUGUAGUGGUGAAAUGCGUAGAUAUCGGGAGGAACGCCGGUGGCGAAAGCGACUGUCUGGGGUGCCUGUGACGCUGAGGCGCGAAAGCCAGGGGAGCAAACGGG
rnacentral:rRNA from 1 species